UACGUAGGUGGCAAGCGUUGUCCGGAUUUACUGGGCGUAAAGAGCGCGCAGGCGGUCGUCCAAGUCGCGUGUGAAAGCCCCCGGCUCAACUGGGGAGGGUCACGCGAUACUGGUCGACUCGAAGGCAGGAGAGGGUAGUGGAAUUCCCGGUGUAGUGGUGAAAUGCGUAGAUAUCUGGAGGAACACCGGUGGCGAAGGCGGCAUCCUGGACCAAUUCUGACGCUGAGUGAGCGAAAGCCAGGGGAGCAAACGGG
rnacentral:rRNA from 1 species